rnacentral:rRNA from 1 species
AUUGGAUGAUGGGAAUUUAAACCCCUUCCAGAGUAUCAAUUGGAGGGCAAGUCUGGUGCCAGCAGCCGCGGUAAUUCCAGCUCCAAUAGCGUAUAUUAAACUUGUUGCAGUUAAAAAGCUCGUAGUUGAAUUUCUGCUGUUUCGUUGACUGCGUUUGGCGUUUGUCAUCGUUGCGGCUUGGUUGGGUUUCGAUUAUUCGUUUCCCGGCGUUUACUUUGAGAAAAUUAGAGUGCUUGAAGCAGGCUUUUGCCUUGAAUACUUUAGCAUGGAAUAACGGAGUAGGACUUUGGUUCUAUUUUGUUGGUUUUAGGAGCCAGAGUAAUGGUUAAUAGGAACAGUUGGGGGCAUUCGUAUUUGACUGUCAGAGGUGAAAUUCUUAGA